rnacentral:lncRNA from 1 species
GACGAACAAAGGCCAGAGGCUCCUGACUUGGGACAGGCGCAAAAUUGCGGAGGGGAUAAACAUGUUUAUGAGAUAUCAACCCUCCCCCUAUACCUCUAGCCACUGAAGGAAAGUAAAUACGCUUGAUGAACGCUACAACCCGAGGAAAUGUGUAUGCAGCAUAAAAAACAUACAACAUACGCCAACAUACGUUUCUUGAACGCCGG